rnacentral:piRNA from 1 species
UGACUUACUUUGGUUCCCAACCGGAAGGGU